rnacentral:miRNA from 10 species
UGGUUUGCUUGGGACUGAGGGGUUUCCUGGCUUGUGGGACUUCCAGUGCUAAAACUGGCCAGGU